rnacentral:tRNA from 1 species
GGUGAGGUUCCCGAGUGGCCAAAGGGGACGGACUGUAAAUCCGUUAGCUCAGCUUUCGUAGGUUCGAAUCCUACCCUCACCACCA